UACGUAGGGGGCCAGCGUUGUCCGGAAUCAUUGGGCGUAAAGCGCGCGUAGGCGGCCAGAUAAGUCCGGUGUGAAAGUCAAAGGCUCAACCUUUGAAUGCCGCUGGAAACUGCCUGGCUUGAGUCCGGAAGGGGCGAGUGGAAUUCCUGGUGUAGCGGGUGAAAUGCGCAGAUAUCAGGAGGAACACCAAUGGCGAAGGCAGCUCGCUGGAACGGUACUGACGCUGAGGCGCGAAAGCGUGGGGAGCGAACAGG
rnacentral:rRNA from 1 species